AUAAAUUUGAAAGAUGUCAAAAUUUACGUAGAUGUCUCGAACAUGUUGUUUCAGUUUAUUAUGAUUCUUGCCUUUACCACAAUUGAAUUAGGGAUCGCGGUUCGAACAUGUUAUUUUUGUGCAGAUAUUAAGGCUAUGUGUAGACUAAACGAUCAACGCAUUAAUCCCGACAAAAUGCAGUGUAGCAAGUUUCGUGUAAAUGACGACGAAAGUGCUAGGGCCUAUAUUAAAAAACCAGACUGGCUCAAAAAUUAUACGAAUAUCAUGCUGUAUGCUGUUCCUUUAAAAAAGAACAAUGUCAAAACAUUGUGUAUUACGAUUCAUCAUAGAGAAACUAAUAGUUCCUCCAAGACGGAUUGGUAUACCUUUCAAACUUGCAUGUAUCGAGACCUUCUUGAAUAUGUUGACGGUUGCGAGUAUUUUCUUAAGCGAGUUUUUGUCGAAAAGGUGGCCACCGAUGUAACAUGCACUUCAUGCAAACGACAAGAUUGCAAUUCGGCGAAAAGAAGACAGCCGAAUGAAAAGAUACAUUUAUUUGUGAUAA